AUGGGGCUAUCCACGGCUGCGACUACGGGGCAGGCGGAUGGGGUAGGGGGCAGCAGACGGAUGGAGCUCGGGGCGGUGGACGGCCGGAGCUCGCUGUCGGGGCCGGCGGAUGGAUGUCCAGCUGCUACUUGCGGCUCGGCGACUCAGAUCUUCGGCUUGGCAUCGCCGGAACCAACGAUCAGAAGCUGCGCCAGUCCCUUACUGCGCGGUCCCCAGAGACCUCGCCGGCGCACCCGACACCGCGGUGGCUGCCCGUGCCCGAGCCUCCAUGCCGGCGUCAUCGUGGCACGGACGGGAGGCCCUGCCCCGCGAGACGGAGGGAUCUGA
rnacentral:rRNA from 1 species